GUGUGCAGAUGAGUCGUAGAAUCUGGGGGGAGUUGAUGAGAAUGUGGGUUGAAUAAAAUGGGAUUAGUGUAAAAGGGUGCUUGAUAUUCAAAGCAGUCUCACUGCAGGCUUGUUUCCAUGCUAUAUGAUUCUUUGACUCUGACUAAAAAUAAUCAUGUCAUUAUCCUGUCACGAUUUAAAAGGGACCUGAGGGGCAACUUCUUCUCACAGAGGGUGAACAAGCUGCCAGAGGAAGUGGUUGAGGACUGAACACUCACUGGAGCAGAUUUUAUUGCAUGUCAUCUCUACUAAUGGGACAAAGAGGAUGUAAGGGACCUUCCAGUAGUCCAGGCUAGGAACCGCUGGACUCCUUCACCUGGGAGUAAAAGGGAGCAGUUCUCCUUCCACUGAAGCCCAACAGUGUCCAGGGCCUCCAGUUCUAGAGCCGCUGGUGCUGCGCAACAGACCAGAAAACUUUAAGGGUACUGAACAAGUACUAAACAUUUAUCGUAUGAAGACAAAAGAGACGAUGCUGACAUCUGGAAUAAUAAAACAGAACGCUGGAAGAACUCAAUGGGUCAAUCAGCAUCUAUGGAGCAAAAGGUCAGACCUGGAGACCUUGGGUGAUGUUUCUUGGACCUUUUUGGGAUGUGCAACAGCAUCAUACCUACAUCCCUACCCCCACCCCCACCCCCAAAAAUGGCACUACUAAGAAACGUCACAAUGGUGUAAUGUCAAUCUUCUGUAAGGGAGUGGGAAUUUGAAUUAAGAAAGUUAAUAUAAUAAAAUGAGGGCCAGUUGGCGUUUUCAUUUCAUGGUUUGCCCCAAAAUACCUUGCUGGCUGAUAUUUUGGGCAAGAGAUUAUAUGGGCACAGUUUUCACUUCAUGCUAGAGAGCAAGAUUGAGCCAAAGAUUCAGCUUCUUCUUGGGAUUUCACUCUGCCAGAGGUCUCCAUCUAUUCAGGGGUCCAGCUGUACCUUUCAAAUCUCAAAGCUAGAUUGCCAAUUGGUAGGGCAAUCUGCCAAUGCAAGAGGGCAGGAAAUUUUAGUUCCACUUGUGCAGUGAGGAGCCAGUUUUGCUUGUGGGUAGGCAGUUGAAGGUAAACAGUUCAAACAACUUGCUAAUGUGGCCACCUUCCAACUGGAAACAAAGUUGGUCAGACAAUACAGCUAAUAUAGCAAUACAGGUAUGUAAUGUGGAUGAGAAGGCAGAACAGUCGAGAAGUCAA